UGGGCUGUCAUCUAAUUGGCAGGAUGCGUGGUUCUGGUCCACGUCGUUGAGGUUCGAGUCCUUGCAGCCCAG
rnacentral:tRNA from 2 species